rnacentral:rRNA from 1 species
GUCUUCUUGUUAUAUUUAGGAAGUCUGGCCUGCCCAGUGAAAAUAAUUUAACGGCCGCGGUAUACUGACCGUGCAAAGGUAGCAUAAUCAUUAGUCUUUUAAUAGAGGGCUGGUAUGAAGGGUUUAACGAGGUGUUGACUGUCUCAUUUAAUUUGAAUUUAGAAUUUAAUUUUUUAGUUAAAAAGCUAAAAUAUUAUUGGAAGACGAGAAGACCCUAUAGAGCUUUAUACUUUUACUAUUAAUUUAUUAUAGAUUAUUAUUAUUUAUUAUUAGUAGAAAGUAUUUUGUUGGGGUGACAAAAAUAUAUGAAUAACUUUUUUAUUUUAUUUACAUUGAUAUAUGAAUAUUAGAUCCAAUCUUAUUGAUUGUUAGAUUAAGUUACCUUAGGGAUAACAGCGUAAUCCCUCUCCAGAGUUCAUAUUUACAGAGGGGCUUGCGACCUCGAUGUUGGAUUAAGAUAAUAAUUAGGUGCAGCCGCUUAAUUAAUAGGUCUGUUCGACCUUUAAAUUCUU